UUAAAACAACUCCAUGAUAUUGAUGAAUUUUUACAGUUUGAAGAAAAACUUGCAUUACCUGUAUUCCGAGCCAAAAUUGUUGAGCAUCUUAAACAAGUUGGGGGAGUUGAUGGUAAAGAUGCAACUCGAAGAAUAACGGAUAGACUUUUUUCUGUUGAGCUGAAAUCAAAGCUUAACAUGAAAGGAACGGGUCACAAAUAUGGAAUUGAAGAUAAAUUGAUAUGGAAAGUAAUGAA